rnacentral:rRNA from 1 species
UAUGGCUCAGAUUGAACGCUAGCGGGAUGCCUUACACAUGCAAGUCGAACGGCAGCACGGACUUCGGUCUGGUGGCGAGUGGCGAACGGGUGAGUAAUGUAUCGGAACGUGCCUAGUAGCGGGGGAUAACUACGCGAAAGCGUAGCUAAUACCGCAUACGCCCUACGGGGGAAAGCAGGGGAUCGUAAGACCUUGCACUAUUAGAGCGGCCGAUAUCGGAUUAGCUAGUUGGUGGGGUAAUGGCUCACCAAGGCGACGAUCCGUAGCUGGUUUGAGAGGACGACCAGCCACACUGGGACUGAGACACGGCCCAGACUCCUACGGGAGGCAGCAGUGGGGAAUUUUGGACAAUGGGGGAAACCCUGAUCCAGCCAUCCCGCGUGUGCGAUGAAGGCCUUCGGGUUGUAAAGCACUUUUGGCAGGAAAGAAACGCCGCGGGUUAAUACCCUGCGGAACUGACGGUACCUGCAGAAUAAGCACCGGCUAACUACGUGCCAGCAGCCGCGGUAAUACGUAGGGUGCAAGCGUUAAUCGGAAUUACUGGGCGUAAAGCGUGCGCAGGCGGUUCGGAAAGAAAGAUGUGAAAUCCCAGAGCUUAACUUUGGAACUGCAUUUUUAACUACCGAGCUAGAGUGUGUCAGAGGGAGGUGGAAUUCCGCGUGUAGCAGUGAAAUACGUAGAUAUGCGGAGGAACACCGAUGGCGAAGGCAGCCUCCUGGGAUAAC